GACGAACGCUGGCGGCGUGCUUAACACAUGCAAGUCGAACGGAAAGGCCCUGCUUUUGUGGGGUGCUCGAGUGGCGAACGGGUGAGUAACACGUGAGUAACCUGCCCUUGACUUUGGGAUAACUUCAGGAAACUGGGGCUAAUACCGGAUAGGAGCUCCUGCUGCAUGGUGGGGGUUGGAAAGUUUCGGCGGUUGGGGAUGGACUCGCGGCUUAUCAGCUUGUUGGUGGGGUAGUGGCUUACCAAGGCUUUGACGGGUAGCCGGCCUGAGAGAGUGACCGGCCACAUUGGGACUGAGAUACGGCCCAGACUCCUACGGGAGGCAGCAGUGGGGAAUAUUGCACAAUGGGCGGAAGCCUGAUGCAGCAACGCCGCGUGCGGGAUGACGGCCUUCGGGUUGUAAACCGCUUUCGCCUGUGACGAAGCGUGAGUGACGGUAAUGGGUAAAGAAGCACCGGCGAACUACGU
rnacentral:rRNA from 1 species